rnacentral:rRNA from 1 species
UUUAACAUGAGAGUUUGAUCCUGGCUCAGGAUGAACGCUGGCGGCGUGCUUAACACAUGCAAGUCGAACGAAGCGAUUU